UACGUAGGGUGCAAGCGUUAAUCGGAAUUACUGGGCGUAAAGCGUGCGCAGGCGGUUUUGUAAGUCUGUCGUGAAAUCCCCGGGCUCAACCUGGGAAUUGCGAUGGAGACUGCAAGGCUAGAAUCUGGCAGAGGGGGGUAGAAUUCCACGUGUAGCAGUGAAAUGCGUAGAGAUGUGGAGGAACACCGAUGGCGCAAGGCAGCCCCCUGGGUCGAAGAUUGACGCUC
rnacentral:rRNA from 1 species